CAACACAUGGAAAAAUCAAACCCUAGGACAAGCUCACAACACUUGCUAUUUUUCUCACCACCCUUCUUUCUAUUUUUUCUCCUAAUUUUUUUCUUAUUUUUUCCUCAAAUUUUUUUCAGAUUUUUCCUCACUUAUCACACACUAAAAGCCUCUAAUUUUUUACCAAAAAUUUAGUACCCAAACCAUCUGGAUGCCCCAUAGAAAUAGAUCAAGAAG
rnacentral:lncRNA from 1 species